rnacentral:rRNA from 1 species
AGUCCAGACUCCUACGGGAGGCAGCAGUGGGGAAUAUUGCACAAUGGGGGAAACCCUGAUGCAGCAACGCCGCGUGAGUGAAGAAGUAUUUCGGUAUGUAAAGCUCUAUCAGCAGGGAAGAAGAAAGACGGUACCUGACUAAGAAGCCCCGGCUAACUACGUGCCAGCAGCCGCGGUAAUACGUAGGGGGCAAGCGUUAUCCGGAUUUACUGGGUGUAAAGGGAGCGUAGACGGCAUAGCAAGUCUGAAGUGAAAGCCCGUGGCUCAACCGCGGAACUGCUUUGGAAACUGUAAAACUGGAGUGCAGGAGAGGUAAGCGGAAUUCCUAGUGUAGCGGUGAAAUGCGUAGAUAUUAGGAGGAACACCAGUGGCGAAGGCGGCUUACUGGACUGUAACUGACGUUGAGGCUCGAAGGCGUGGGGAGCAAACAGGAUUAGAUACCCUUGUA